CAGGGCAUCUCCAAUGGUACCAGGAUCACUCAGCUUUAAGCGCCACCGCUAUCUGGAACUCGAAGGAUCCAUCCAGAGCCAUGGUGACUCUGCUGGGAAAGUGAUGACACCACCAUCGCCAUUCCAGAAAGAUCCAGAACAACACCUCAGCUCUGCAGUUCCCUCUGUGCUCUUUACUGGGCCUUCGCCCUUCCAUCCAGGCCACACUCACCAAUGAGCAGCUCAAGGGCAAUGCGAUCAGAGGACUCAUAACUCCGGUUCAGGAAAAGGACCACAUGGAAAGGCUGCCCACGGCGC